rnacentral:rRNA from 1 species
UACAGAGGGUGCGAGCGUUAAUCGGAAUUACUGGGCGUAAAGCGCGCGUAGGCGGCUUUGCAAGUCGGGUGUGAAAUCCCCAGGCUUAACCUGGGAACUGCAUUCGAGACUGCAUUGCUAGAGUAUGGGAGAGGGAAGUGGAAUUUCCGGUGUAGCGGUGAAAUGCGCAGAUAUCAGGAGGAACACCGGUGGCGAAGGCGGUUCUCUGGGCAUGUUCUGACGCUGAGGAGCGAAAGUGUGGGGAGCGAACAGG